CUUAAGUUGCCAAGAUUUCAAAAGUUGUCAAAGCGUAGUACAACAGUUUUGCUAUGGAAUGGUGAAACUAUUUAUUCGUUUUCUGAAACAGCAACGUUUUGAGCUUACCACACUUUUGCAUAACAGAAACAAAAUGAAGAAAUAAAUA